GAUGAAGAACGUAGCGAAAUGCGAUAAGUAAUGCGAAUUGCAGAAUUCAGUGAAUCAUCGAAUCUUUGAACGCACAUUGCGCCCCUUGGUAUCCCGAGGGGCAUGCCUGUUCGAGCGUCAUUUCACCACUCAAGCCUGGCUUGGUGUUGGGCGACGUCCCCUUUGGGGACGCGCCUCGAAACGCUCGGCGGCGUGGCACCGGCUUUAAGCGUAGCAGAAUCUUUCGCUUUGGAAGUCGGGGCCCCGUCUGCCGGAAGACCUACUCGCAAGGUUGACCUCGGAUCAGGCAGGGAUACCCGCUGAACUUAAGCAUAUCAAUAAGCGGAGGA
rnacentral:misc_RNA from 1 species